ensembl:lncRNA
GAAAUUGUGUUACUGCUGAUUUGAUUCUGGAAAAGGUUGUUUUUCAUAAUGGGAGGUUAGCUGGACCACUAAGGAAGUAAGAAAUAAUCCAAAUCUUUACUAGAAUAGGUGAGUGUGUAUAUAAGAACUUGGCCCAAAAUAAUAUCACCAGAAAAGGAACUUCUAUCCCUUUUUUCAUGUUCCAUUAAGGGGUUUAUUGUUAAUCUCAAAUACUUCCAGAAGUAUCGUUUUAAUUUUACAUUUCUGCAUGCCAACAUGGACCUUGUUUUUAGUUUUUUUUCAUGGUUUAAUGAUUGUAUCGCAUGUUUCCUGUUUUAUUCCGUUCCAUAUGCAAGUGACUGAACAAUGCAAGCCAUGCUAAUGUUUUCAUACUUUCUAAAUGCUUCUAAACAGCCAGCCUCCUGUUACUGAUGUUCUGACCUCGGUAUUUACCACUUUUCACCAGCAUUUAAAUGUUAUUUCAAUCAACAACUCUGCCCUAUUAUUCUACAUUUGGUGCCUGAAAUCUUCUUUUGUAAAUCUCUUAAAUUGUAGCUUGAGUAGUAGCUACAUUACACUUUAAACUGUCGCUGUGUGUCCUCUUCCUAAAGGAAUUUGUUCAGCAUUUUGUGAAAUUUCACUUCCUACAUAUUUCUUUUCUCCAUAGAUUGAGUUGAGAAGCUUACUGUGUCUCUUACGUCAACUAGCUUUGCAAACAGACCAGGUUCAAGUGGGAGUUGUUCCAACAAUGUAUCGGCAAACACCAGUGCAACCCAUCACCACUGCGUCUCCGGCUACACCGUGGGUUGCCAGAUACGCUUUGUCCAAACUUCACUGGAGUACAGGACUGUUUCUGCACGCUACCACCAAAGUCACAAUGUUUGGUAUUUAGAGCUCUUUCCCGCCUACUUCCAGCCUUUAUGCUGAUGCUGAUAUUCUCAUCUCACAGUUCCAGAGUACAUGAUUAGCCUAGCCUAGCAUUAAGACAGUCACCAGGAAAACAAGUUACAUGUAACUUCUCUGUAAUAGUUGUAAUUUCUAUGUAUUGUUUUGUGAACAGAUUUAAACAAUCCGAUGGAAUUUGUCAUUUGGUGAACUUUAGCAUGAUGACAAGAGCUCUAUAUGUAACACAGUCACGACGUUGAUAUCCAUUUGCUCAUCUCACUGUAAAGCGAUUAUUUUAAUGAAAGCUGUCUAG